UCGAACGGAAAGGCCCUGCUUGCAGGGUACUCGAGUGGCGAACGGGUGAGUAACACGUGGGUGAUCUGCCCUGCACUUCGGGAUAAGCCCGGGAAACUGGGUCUAAUACCGGAUAGGAGCCAUUUUUAGUGUGAUGGUUGGAAAGUUUUUUCGGUGUAGGAUGAGCUCGCGGCCUAUCAGCUUGUUGGUGGGGUAAUGGCCUACCAAGGCGGCGACGGGUAGCCGGCCUGAGAGGGUGGACGGCCACAUUGGGACUGAGAUACGGCCCAGACUCCUACGGGAGGCAGCAGUGGGGAAUAUUGCACAAUGGGCGCAAGCCUGAUGCAGCGACGCCGCGUGGGGGAUGACGGCCUUCGGGUUGUAAACUCCUUUCGCUAGGGACGAAGCUUUUUGUGACGGUACCUAGAUAAGAAGCACCGGCUAACUACGUGCCAGCAGCCGCGGUAAUACGUAGGGUGCGAGCGUUGUCCGGAAUUACUGGGCGUAAAGGGCUCGUAGGUGGUUUGUCGCGUCGUCUGUGAAAUUCCGGGGCUUAACUCCGGGCGUGCAGGCGAUACGGGCAUAACUUGAGUACUGUAGGGGUAACUGGAAUUCCUGGUGUAGCGGUGAAAUGCGCAGAUAUCAGGAGGAACACCGAUGGCGAAGGCCAGGUUACUGGGCAGUUACUGACGCUGAGGAGCGAAAGCAUGGGUAGCGAACAGGAUUAGAUACCCUGGUAGUCCAUGCCGUAAACGGUGGGCGCUAGGUGUGAGGGUCUUUUCACGACUUUCGUGCCGUAGCUAACGCAUUAAGCGCCCCGCCUGGGGAGUACGCCGCAAGGCUA
rnacentral:rRNA from 1 species